AUACGAAAGGUGCAAGCGUUGUUCGGAUUUACUGGGCGUAAAGAGAGUGUAGGUUGUUUAUUAAGUCGGAUGUGAAAUCCCGGGGCUCAACCUCGGAACCGCAUUCGAUACUGAUAGGCUAGAGUUUGGGAGGGGUAAGCGGAAUUCCGUGUGUAGCAGUGAAAUGCGUAGAUAUACGGAGGAACACCUGAGGCGAAGGCGGCUUACUGGACCAAUACUGACACUGAGACUCGAAAGCGUGGGUAGCAAACAGGAUUAGAUACCCUAGUAGUCC
rnacentral:rRNA from 1 species